AUUGAACGCUGGCGGCAUGCGUAACACAUGCAAGUCGAACGGUGUUUGGUGCUUGCACCAGACAUAGUGGCGGACGGGUGAGUAAUGCGUAGGAAUCUGUCUUAGAGAGGGGGACAACCCGAGGAAACUUGGGCUAAAACCGCAUAUUCUCGAGAGAGGAAAGCAGGGGACCGGAAACGGCCUUGUGCUCUAAGGUGAGCCUACGUCGGAUUAGCUAGUUGGUAGGGUAAAAGCCUACCAAGGCGAUGAUCUGUAGCUGGUCUGAGAGGACGGACAGCCACACUGGGACUGAGACACGGCCCAGACUCCUACGGGAGGCAGCAGUGGGGAAUAUUGGACAAUGGGGGGAACCCUGAUCCAGCGAUGCCGCGUGUGUGAAGAAGGCCUGCGGGUUGUAAAGCACUUUCAGUGGGAAAGAGAAGCGUCUUGUGAAUAAUGGGACGUGGAGACGUUACUCACAGAAGAAGCAACCGGCUAACUCUGUGCCAGCAGCCGCGGUAAU
rnacentral:rRNA from 1 species